UGGAUUGUGGCUCAGCGGUAGAGCGCUCGCCUAGCAUGCGCAAGACCUGGGUUCGAUCCUCAGCACCACAU
rnacentral:tRNA from 1 species